UUAAGUUAUUUAUUGAUUCACUAGUUGCCAUUUUAAGUGUAACUCGAUUCCGGUUUGUAGAAGCCUUCGAGGUGAUUGUGUGAAACUCGUUUCAUCGGAAUUUCGGUAUAGAAUAUUAGAAUGGUAAUCUGGUGUCUAAAACUAGAAAUCACUAUAUCACGUGAUGAACUCGAUUACCAUGUUUGUGAGAAAUCGGUUAUUAUUCAUUGUAAAAGUCCGCUUUGACGCUUGUCCGCUGCUUUUUUUAAUUCAACAAAAUAAUAUUAACCUUUUACUAAUAACGUCUAUGGUGUGAACUCAAACAAAUCUACGAGUAAUCUUGCGUAUGCGCGCAGUAACGCAUCUCAACAACUGACUUCGUCGGCCAUUGCAACCACAGGGAUAUAUACUAUGUGUAUGUAAUGUUAAACAAUAUGUGUAGUAUAUAUCUCUGUACUUGCAUAAUGUGCUUCUAUCUACGAAUUGUGAACAUCGCCCUGUCGGCGACUGGCGAGAUCAAGCUAGCACGGAAACUUGGAAUCCAGUUAUGUUUGAGGUUAUGAUAGCACAUUAGCACUCAUAACCUCAAACCAGAAGACAGCAUUCAAAGUGUUAUGAUCUACUAAACGGUUCUAAAGUCUAUAACUGCCAUUGACCAUAACAAUUGUUCGUUUUGCUUUUAGUCAGCAAGUAGUUUAAAGAAUACUGUAUUAUAAGUAUUCUUGCAUUUUGCGUAGUUUUGCGUGUAAUUAUGUCUCCGAAGGAACGCAUUUGAAUGUGUUGUAUGUGAGAAUAUAUCCAAACAUGUGUAUGCCAUCAAUUUCCAAAUCUUUGGAGUGGUGGAAAGACGUCAAAGCUUGUUCCAGAUUGUAGAUAAAAGGGUAGAUGGUUUAGAAAACCUGGAUCCAAUGUCUGUUAAUUCCUAAAAAUGUAUCUGUGCUUUGCAGUUCUCAAAUGAUUGUUCGAGUUUUUGUAAAAAAAAAAUGAAUGCUAAUGCUUACCCAUCUAUUAAUUUGCCAAAUAAAUAGUUAAUGUUGGUGUUCAAAAAGAAAUUAUUCAACACAGAUAAUGUGCCAGGAGAUGCUUAAUUAUAUUUAGUAUAAACACCUGCCAGAAAGUGGUGUACUAUACCAUAGUGCAAAAUAAAAUCAGUCCAUGUGUCAAGACAUAAAUUCAGAUUUCCUAAGUUUUUUUUCAGUGUACAAUUAUUAUACAAAUUAGAUACAGGCAUAUAAAGAAUAAACAUUGUAGUAUCAAUAAUAAAGUAUAUUAUGUUUAAU